rnacentral:rRNA from 1 species
GAUGAACGCUAGCGGCAGGCCUAAUACAUGCAAGUCGAACGAUAGAAGAGGGCUUGCUCUCUUCGAAAGUGGCGCACGGGUGCGUAACGCGUCUGCAACCUACCUUAAUCAGGGGGAUAGCCCGAAGAAAUUCGGAUUAACACCGCAUAAAAUCACAGUACCGCAUUGUACAAUGAUCAAAUAUUUAUAGGAUUAAGAUGGGCAUGCGUGACAUUAGCUAGUUGGCGGGGUAACGGCCCACCAAGGCGACGAUGUCUAGGGGAUCUGAGAGGAUGACCACCCACACUGGAACUGAGACACGGACCAGACUCCUACGGGAAGCAGCAGUAAGGAAUAUUGGUCAAUGGAGGCAACUCUGAACCAGCCAUGCCGCGUGCAGGAAGACAGCCCUCUGGGUCGUAAACUGCUUUUAUUCGGGAAUAAACCUACUUACGUGUAAGUAGCUGAAUGUACCGAAGGAAUAAGGAUCGGCUAACUCCGUGCCAGCAGCCGCAGUAA